rnacentral:rRNA from 1 species
UACGUAGGGUGCGAGCGUUAAUCGGAAUUACUGGGCGUAAAGCGUGCGCAGGCGGCCGCGCAAGUCGGGUGUGAAAUCCCCGAGCUUAACUUGGGAAUUGCGCUCGAAACUACGAGGCUGGAGUGUGGCAGAGGAAGCUGGAAUUCCAGGUGUAGCGGUGAAAUGCGUAGAGAUGUGGAGGAACACCGAUGGCGAAGGCAGCUUUCUGGGCCAACACUGACGCUCAUGCACGAAAGCGUGGGGAGCAAACAGG